ensembl:lncRNA
UUGAAUAGAAGCAGAAAAACAUUUAGGGAUCACAUCAGGCCAGUAGAAUUAAGCCUCUCCACCUGUCCCAACCAUAAAAAGGGUCUCCCAGCUUUCCAUCUCUGGCUCUAUAUGCUUUAUCCCAAAACAAAGCAGAUAACGUUCAGACGUCGGCCAUUUAGUAAUUUAAAGUGAAUUUCCAGCAGCAAGCAUGCUUUGAUAUCUGGUUCAGACUAUCAUCAGGAAGAAGAAAAAAAAUCCCACAGUACCUGAAAUGUGAUUGUUGCAGUGUUCAGUUUCCUUGGGGGCCUGCUCCCUUCACACCUUGAGCCCAAGUCCUUUUCCGUUGGCUGAUUCAGCUCCCAGAAGAGACCAGGAAGUGUGUGGCAAGGGACUGGAAAACUUCACUUGCUUGGAUCAGGCAAGGCUCCACUCAUUGUUGAUAUUUGCCCAGCAGGAAAAUCGUGUAAGUUAUACCACCAGAAAGCAAAAGGAGCAUGGUUUGGUGGUUAAGGUUUAGUGGGAUGAAGGACCUGUCUUGGUGGGCCGGGCCCUCUUGUGCCCCGUAGGCUAGGUCUUAGGGCAACUCCUUGCCCUCCUGCUCAGCACCUCCAUUUCCCCAUCCUUGGUGAGAUAACAAGCUAUCGCGAAAAGCACUUGGGAGAUUUGGAUGAUUUGAGAAGAGUGACUUAAAAAAAAAAUGCUUCUGUGCUCUAAGAUAUAUAUGUGUGUGUGUGUGCUACAUAUAUAUUUUUAAGAAAGGACCAUCUCUUUAGGAUAUAUUUUUAAAUUCUUUGAAACACAUAACCAAAAUGGUUUGAUUCACUGACUGACUUUGAAGCUGCAUCUGCCAGUUACACCCCAAAUGGCUUUAAUCCCCUCUUGGGUCUGGUUGCCUUUUGCAGUUUGGGUUGUGGACUCAGCUCCUGUGAGGGGUCUGGUUAGGAGAGAGCCAUUUUUAAGGACAGGGAGUUUUAUAGCCCUUUUCUACUUUCCUCCCCUCCUCCCAGUCCUUAUCAAUCUUUUUUCCUUUUUCCUGACCCCCUCCUUCUGGAGGCAGUUGGGAGCUAUUCUUGUUUAUGCCUCACUAUUGGCAGAAAAGACCCCAUUUAAAACCCAGAGAACACUGGAGGGGGAUGCUCUAGUUGGUUCUGUGUCCAUUUUCCUCUGUGCCAAAGACAGACAGACAGAGGCUGAGAGAGGCUGUUCCUGAAUCAAAGCAAUAGCCAGCUUUCAACACAUACCUGGCUGUCUGAGGAGGAAGGCCUCCUGGAAACUGGGAGCUAAGGGCGAGGCCCUUCCCUUCAGAGGCUCCUGGGGGACUAGGGUGUGGUGUUUGCCAAGCCAAGGGGUAGGGAGCCGAGAAAUUGGUCCAUCGGCUCCUGGUUGCACUUUGGGGAAGGAGAGGAAGUUUGGGGCUCCAGGUAGCUCCCUGUUGUGGGACUGCUCUGUCCCCUGCCCCUACUGCAGAGAUAGCACCGCCGAGUUCCCUUCAGGCCUGGCAGACGGGCAAUGAGGAGGGGCCUCAGUUAGCUCUCAAGGGUGCCUUCCCCUCCUCCCAACCCAGACAUACCCUCUGCCAAACUGGGAACCAGCAGUGCUAGUAACUACCUCACAGAGCCCCAGAGGGCCUGCUUGAGCCUUCUUGCUCCACAGGAGAAGCUGGUGCCUCUAGGCAACCCCUUCCUCCCACCUCUCAUCAGGGGUGGGGGUUCUCCUUUCCCCUGAAGUGUUUAUGGGGAGAUCCUAGUGGCUUUGCCAUUCAAACCACUCGACUGUUUGCCUGUUUCUUGAAAACCAGAAGAAGGGAAACAGCACAGCCUGUCAUAGUAAUUGCAGGAAGAUUGAAAAAAAAUCCUCAUCAAUGCCAGGGGACAUAAAAGCCAUUUCCCUUCCAAAUACUCGAUAAUUUAGAUGCAGAACAUUUCUCUGUAUUCAGACUUAGAGUAACACCAGCUGAAAACUUCAGUUUCUUUCCUUUGGAUACAUAAGGCUUCUCUAUCGGGGUACGGGACAGGGAGGAGGCCUCAUGUCUGAAGGGGGAUUUAGGGGCAAUAGCCCCAGCCCUGACCCUCGGUCCUGUGCACCGCUUUGGGGCACAGUCUGAUGGCGCCUUUGCUGGCGCCUUAGUAUGGUUGACUCCGGAUGGACAAAAGAAAAAAAAAUUUUUUUCUUGAAUGAAAUAGCAGGAAGCUCUUCGGGAGCAUGUGUUUUGAUUAACCGCAGGUGAUGGAUGCUACGAGUAUAAAUGGAUUAACUACCUCAAUCCUUACAGUAAGAUUGGAACUAAGGGCAGGGACUCGUGCAUAAGGGUAUGAAUCCCAGCCAGGACAAGUGAGUUGAGGCUUGUGCCACAAAAGGUUUGUCCUUGGGGAACAGGCAGGCCUGCCAGGAUCCCCCCCAUAUCGAUUGGGCUGGGAGGGCUGGCCGUGAGGUCCCCACUUUCUGCUUUCCUUGCCCAUGUGUCACCCCUUUGGCCUCCAGCUUGUCCUUCUCUCACUUUCUAUAGCUUUGUUGGACCAGAUGGUGAGGAAAGGAAUGGCCUCUUCCCUUCUAGAGGGGGCUGGCUAGAGUGAGACCUGGGGCUUGGCCUUGAACCCACCACACAGCCCCAUAGUCAGGAAGCCUGGGGAAGCCAGAGCUGAGACCUCUUCAACAGGGUUUAUUUGAGAUCCUACACCUCCAUUGGGCCCUUUUUCAGUCUUCAAGGGAGGCCCAGUUGGCUCUAGAAGGAGAAGAGGUGAAGCAGGAUCCUUUGCCCUGGGGGAGUCUGAGGGCCUGGUCCUUGGACUCAUUCAGGCCGUCUUUGUAGUUGGGGGAGUUCCACUGGGCGAUCCCAGCCCCUCCCCACCCACCCUCUAAUGGACCUCCUCAUAGAAGCCCCAUUUCACUUUUGUUUUAUCUACCUCUUAGCAAAACAAUAGAUAAAUUAGGUAGUGGCAACUCCACUUGCUUAGGUUAGGGGGGGAAAAAGAUUUCUUUUUCCAAAGGAAAAAAAUAUUACCUUGAGAAUACUUUCCAAAAAAUAAAAUUUAAAAAAAACCAAAAAAAAAAUUUUUUUUUAAAGAGGGAGACAUUUUCCAGUGACCACUGGAUUGUUUUAAUUUCCCAAGAUUUUUUUUCCCCCACAAAUAAGUUUCACUCUUUGGCGAUUUUCUUCACUUGUUUAAGAUAACGUGCUAGCUAUUCUAACAGGUAACAGCUUUCACAGUCUGCCCCUGGCUUGUCUCACCCCAUCCCCCACCCUAUUCCUGCCAGUGAGUCCUUCCUGUGCUUCUCUCCCUUCUCCCCUCCCAGCCAGCUGACUUCAGUCACCCCCCGUCCCCCAUCCCCUGCCAGUAAGCUCCCCCAGGAAUAAAGGCUUUGUUUUGGGGAUACUUAAAUCUUGACUGGCACUUCCCGGCUCUGGGGGCUGGGGAGCCACUUGUAACAUUUCUGUGCAGAUUUUUAUGUUAGCCACUGCUAUGUAAAAGCACGUUCAAAAUGAAUUUCAGCAGAUUAUGUGUUACCAUAAUGAAUAAACGUCCUCUAUCACCAU